AGAAUUUUAAGGGGUAAUUUUAAGAGACCAAUUCAAGAGAAUUUACAAUUCCACCCAAAAUAAGAAAAUUUUGCAAAUUCCUCGUCAUUCUUCACACGCGUUCUCUCUCUCACGAAAAUCUUCAUCGCUCUCUCUCAACAACUCCAACUCCAUCGCUUUAUCUCCAUGAAUCUCUCUAACUCCGAAUCGAUAUCUCUCUCCCUCUCUCUGAAGAUUGUUUUCUGACUCGAUUUUACUCUCUCCAAACUUGAUCUAUCUCUGAGCUGAAUAUGAACAUAAUGUGUGGUUACUGCCUACUUGAUUUCAAGAAAUGGAUUCACAAAGUUUGAGCCACAAGACAAAGGGAAAACGAAAGAAGGAGGAAAGCAACACUGCGGAAAAAAAAGAAGAUGUAAGAAGUUACUUCUCGUAGAAUUUGGAAAUGGAGCGUGUUUUAGCUGAGGCACUUAGAGAUCAAAGAAGUUUAGGCCGCCAAAGUGACGGAGCUUGGAAAGCAGUGGCAUACAAUGUGGUAGCUGAUGUGUUGUCUUCUCGUUUUAAUGUUCAGCUUAUUGGAGAUAACGUGAAAAACUGAAUCAAACUUUGGCGAGGGUGGUAUGGGAUAGUUAGCGAUAUUCUCGGUCAAAGUGGAUUUGAUUGGGAUGGCACAAUAUGUAUGAUUACCGUUGAAGAUGAAAAUGCUUGGAAUGAAUAUGUGAAGGUCUGGUUUGAUUUAUGUAGCAUGUGCAAAGAUCUAGAAAGUGAAAGAUGGCAUUUGCAGUUUGCGGCAGUGAUGUAUCUCUGAUAUCUAGCAAGGAUUUGACGAUAUAAAUAGAUACCCUUGAAGAACAAUGUGUUGCUUAUAUAUUUUUGUUUGACAUUUACGAAGUGAUGAAAAAGAUUAGACAUUUGGUAUAUGAUUGUGCGAAGAUAUAGUUGUGCAAAGACCUAGAAAGUGAAUGAUAGCAAUUGUAGUUUGCGGUGGUGAUGUAUCUCCGAUAUCUAGCAAGUUUUUUAUGACACAAAUAGAUACUCUUGAAGUACAAUAUGCAUUGUUUAUAUAUUUUUGUUUGACAUUCACGAAGUGAUGAAAUCGGAUUAUUUUGUUUGAUGUA